GUGGGAUUAGCUCAGUUGGUUAGAGCGCCAGAUUGUGGCUCUGGAGGUCGUGGGUUCGAUUCCCAUAUCUCACCCCA
rnacentral:tRNA from 2 species